rnacentral:lncRNA from 1 species
AACAGGUACCCCCUGCAGAAGAAAUAAAGAAACAAUCUUCUGAUGAGUUUGAGCCUGAUCCCAAAUUUGAAGGUGAACCAGCAGAGGAUGAAAACCAGAAUGACACAUCCAGUACAGAAUUUCAAGAGGAUGCAUGUUCAGUUUCAGACAGCUGGUCUUGGAAUCAGAAGAUAAGAUCCUCCCACAAUGAGAAGAGUGCUCUUUGUAACAUCAUGAUGCUGUUGUGCACCAUGGUUUCUUCUCUCAUCUGGAAUUUUCUCAGCCACUUGCUCCAGAUCUCUAAUGUCCUGAGGAUUCAACUGCUGCCAUCCUCUCUGUUUGUCCCUGUUACUCAGCUUUUUGAUUUACUGGGUGACAAUGCUGUGAAAAUCCUAGGCUCCUUGAAGCUUGAAAGCAGAGGGCUGUUAACUUCAGUCUUGGGGAUGAGAUUCAAGAAAACUGGAAUGGUGAUGAAGCUCAGAGAACCACCUCAGGGUAGAAAUGAAAAAGGUAGUCCUGAGACCAUUGGCAGCAAUCCUUUCCAGCGUCAGUGA